UGGCAUCGAAGCGUAUCCUGAAGGAAUUGAAGGACCUGCAGAGAGAUCCCCCCACAUCAUGCAGUGCAGGUACGAUUACUAGUAAUUAUUGGAACUAUGGAUGACUGCUCCAGAGAUUUACAUAACCCACUGGGUGCAGGCAGACCAUGUCAUCUUGUCUGUACCAUAUUGCCAGUCCUUGCAUGCUCACUUUGUUUUUCCCAAUGCCUUUCCAUUGCUUCUCAUGAACAAAUUUCACUUGUACAAUGUUCAGGUCCUGCCGGUGAGGACAUGUUUCAUUGGCAAGCAACAAUUAUGGGACCGCCUGACAGUCCCUAUGCUGGUGGUGUUUUCUUAGUGAACAUUCAUUUCCCGCCAGAUUACCCCUUCAAACCUCCGAAGGUUAGAACUCAGGAGGUUUAUCUUAUUUACAAAUUCCCCUUUUAUUCACUCUAAGUUAUUGUGUAUUGUGCGCUCUUGCAAGAUGUGUAGUAUUGGGUAGCCUGAAUGUGGUUACCUUUAAUAAGUAUAGGCGUCUUCUGAGUAAAAGUUUGUAAACAAGAAAGGCUUUUUGUUGUUCCUUUUUCUCCUGCUAAUGUCAUCAUCCUGGGGGGAGGGAGAUCAUUGUACAUUAUCCCUUCUGCUAUGUGAUAGCUUCACCUUUCUGUUAGUACUUUGUCCUUGGUCAACUAAUAAUAUGGUUAUAGUUGUUUUAUCUGCUGGCAUAAAAUCAUCUUUUAGUGUUAGCUGGUAAUGCAUUAACUUUUUUUCCUGGAUGAAGUAUCCCUGUUAAUAUAUCCUUUCAGAGUUGUAGUUUAGAACUGUGUUAGUGAUUUCGUACACCUGAGGAAAUAAUAAAUUUCUUACAGCUUCUCUCAAAUUAAAUAUUUCAUGCUAAUAAUUUCAAGAAAAACGGUAUGUUAAGAAUGUCAUGGAUUAUUGUAUGUUUGAUACCUGUCUACAUUUCCUAUUAACAAUCUGCUUUGGCAUCUUCCUUUGAUGGCUGAACUUCACGAGCCAUUAAAUCUUGAGGUUUCUUUUACUUAGAUUUUGUUGUUUUAACUUUGUCCAUGUUUAUUGAAUCUUUGUUGCCCUGUUCAUUUUAGGUGUCUUUCAAGACAAAGGUCUUCCAUCCUAAUAUCAACAGCAAUGGAAGUAUAUGCCUUGACAUUCUUAAAGAGCAGUGGAGCCCUGCUUUGACAAUUUCUAAGGUCAUCCUGAACACUGAUAUUUUUUUUCUAUAUGAGCAUAACUUUUUCUUUUCAUUUUUUCUUUAUGUUUAUAAAAUGAGUAAAUCUAAAUUUCUGAUGAUGCAAGAAUUUUCUACUGAUGGGUAUCGCUUAUUUUGCAUUGAUUAGUUAGCAGAAACAUUCACUGCCUUGUUUGGGGUUCCUUUGCUGUCUGUUCCUGUGCUGUUUUUGUCAUCAUCUGCAUUGUUUGGGGUUGCUAUUGUAGAUGUAAUGCCCCUAGCAAAUUCUGAAAUCUAAUGUUGUUUGCCCUUUUGUUUGAUUUAGUUGGUAAAUAUUUUUCUAUUUAUUAUUUCACAUGCUUUAACCAUAUAUCUGUGAAAUAUCAGGGCCUUUGUCCUUUCGGUGAAUGCUUCUAUGAACCCUGUUUGCUAUUUUACUAACAUACUGUGGUGCUUGGAUCUUCUUGUAUCAUGCUUUAACCAUGUUUUGAGCUGUUUAAAUGGAGACUAACAUUGUACUUCUGUCAACCAUACUUGCAGUACAGCACCUCUAAUAGUGUGCUGAAUAUGAUCAUAGGAGUUUCAUAGGCGCGCCCUUAUAUGCUGGCUGUAUGCCAACAUAUUAAUCUUUUUUUUGGAACCGUCCAUGUGGAAAUGGAAUUUCAUUUUUCAUUCAGUUCCACAAUUCCACAAUUAGGUUUUGUUGGAAAUGACGUGUUAUUGUUAUGUUAUACACCUAAAUGAAAUUAGAGUGUUGUUGCUUAUUUGAGUGUUGCUUUGUUGGAUGUUCCAGGUCUUGCUCUCCAUCUGCUCCCUGCUAACUGACCCCAACCCGGACGAUCCUCUUGUCCCCGAGAUUGCCCACAUGUACAAGACGGACCGGCCGAAGUACGAGUCGACAGCCCGCAGCUGGACGCAGAAAUAUGCGAUGGGCUGACAAAGCACCUCCGCAUGUCAAUCAGCGACGAUUCCCGUGUCGUCUCAAGAAAUUGUUUGUGGGCCAUUAUUUCCUUCGAUUUGUCGCUGGUCGUGUGUAUCCCCGAU
rnacentral:lncRNA from 1 species